GCAAAAUGUAGCUCAAUAAGAGCAUUGGUCUUGUAAAUCAAAGGCUGAAUUUUAAAUUCCUUUUGCU
rnacentral:tRNA from 1 species